AUGCAGUCGAGCGGACAGAUGGGAGCUUGCUCCCUGAUGUUAGCGGCGGACGGGUGAGUAACACGUGGGUAACCUGCCUGUAAGACUGGGAUAACUCCGGGAAACCGGGGCUAAUACCGGAUGGUUGUUUGAACCGCAUGGUUCAAACAUAAAAGGUGGCUUCGGCUACCACUUACAGAUGGACCCGCGGCGCAUUAGCUAGUUGGUGAGGUAACGGCUCACCAAGGCAACGAUGCGUAGCCGACCUGAGAGGGUGAUCGGCCACACUGGGACUGAGACACGGCCCAGACUCCUACGGGAGGCAGCAGUAGGGAAUCUUCCGCAAUGGACGAAAGUCUGACGGAGCAACGCCGCGUGAGUGAUGAAGGUUUUCGGAUCGUAAAGCUCUGUUGUUAGGGAAGAACAAGUACCGUUCGAAUAGGGCGGUACCUUGACGGUACCUAACCAGAAAGCCACGGCUAACUACGUGCCAGCAGCCGCGGUAAUACGUAGGUGGCAAGCGUUGUCCGGAAUUAUUGGGCGUAAAGGGCUCGCAGGCGGUUUCUUAAGUCUGAUGUGAAAGCCCCCGGCUCAACCGGGGAGGGUCAUUGGAAACUGGGGAACUUGAGUGCAGAAGAGGAGAGUGGAAUUCCACGUGUAGCGGUGAAAUGCGUAGAGAUGUGGAGGAACACCAGUGGCGAAGGCGACUCUCUGGUCUGUAACUGACGCUGAGGAGCGAAAGCGUGGGGA
rnacentral:rRNA from 2 species